CUCAAACGUCUGCAGACGUGUGCUGAGUUUCUUCUGUUGCUUGUUUUAGGAAGAUCAUGCUUUGUCACACUUGGUAUUCCUCUAGGAGAGGACUGCUUUUUAAAAGUAUAUAAAAUAGUUGUAUUGGACUUGGGGGCAAAAACGAAGGCAUUUCUAAUGAGCAUUUCUCAUCUCCAGGCCAGCAGAAGUGGAGGAACCGGUUCUCAUGCCAUGGGUCAUAGUGAAUCUGGUGGUGGCGCUUCUGGUUGGAUUAGCCUGGCUCUUUUUGUCUUACAGGCCAGGCAUGGAUCUUAGUGAAGAGUUGAUGUUCUUUUCUGAUGUGGACGAGUACCCCGAGAGAGGAGUCAAAGCGUCUCCGUAGCGCCGGCCGGCUCCGUCCCUGCAGUGACGGCCUGCGUUCCCCACUCCCGUUUUUAAGUGUAUUUUUAUAAGAUACAUGUAUUUAUAAUCGAGCUUUUGUUACAUAAUGCUGAAAUGCUACUGUAGAUUGUAAAUUAUAUCUGGUCUUUAUACCAAAUAUUAGGGUCUUUAUUAUUUUCACCUUAGUGACACAGGAGAUAAUGAGCUAAAACAAACAAACAAACAAACAAAAAAACACAGCAGGUGAUGUGUUUGUUUCCUGUCCUUUCAAAUUUGCAAAAUUCAUGAUUAUUAUUAGCUAAAGAGCACCAAUUUAGAAAAGCCUUAACCUCAGUGUUAUAAAAUAUACAUCAAGUUUAAAUGUAAAUUUAGUGAAUGGGGAA
rnacentral:lncRNA from 1 species